CAGUCGCCACGGGAAUACGUAGGGUGCGAGCGUUAAUCGGAAUUACUGGGCGUAAAGCGUGCGCAGGCGGUUUUGUAAGACAGGCGUGAAAUCCCCGGGCUCAACCUGGGAAUGGCGCUUGUGACUGCAAAGCUAGAGUGCGGCAGAGGGGGAUGGAAUUCCGCGUGUAGCAGUGAAAUGCGUAGAUAUGCGGAGGAACACCGAUGGCGAAGGCAAUCCCCUGGGCCUGCACUGACGCUCAUGCACGAAAGCGUGGGGAGCAAACAGGAUUAGAUACCCGUGUAGUCCCUGUCUCUUAUAC
rnacentral:rRNA from 1 species